rnacentral:lncRNA from 1 species
AAGUGACUUGCCCCAGAUCAUGCAGUUGGCAGAAGCACCAGGAUAUUUUCAUUCCCAAUACACCAAACACUUGGAAAAGUAACAAAAAAAGGGUAACUGAGAGAAGAAAAGGUGGUGAAAAGAGAAAGUGAGAAGUAGAGAAAGUCAUAGUGAGGAAAUAGGUUUAAAAAAAAAAAAGCAAAUAGAGAGUUGCCAACAGUAUUCUCUGUUUCAGAACAUGCUCUUCUUGGAUGCAUGCCACACUGGAUUUUAAACUAUGAGCUUCUGGGAAACCCUAAGCCCUGGAAUGAUGUUGGCAAAACCCCUUGGGUCUCUGGGAUGGCUUUUGUUUCUUCUUAACCCUGAGAAUGGAGUCCAGGCUGGAGAGCUGCUCAGGCACCGAUUCUCCACAGUCCGAGUGUCAAAAAGUCCUGCUGCCUCUCUCUCCAAAAUAUAUCUGGAGCCCUCUUCAUCUGUCUCCAUUUUCACUGUUGUAAUCCUGGUUCCAGCCCCCAGCCUGUCACCUGAGGACUUUGACAGCUCCGGACAAGCCUCUCCACUUCCAUUCUUGCCC